rnacentral:rRNA from 1 species
ACUGGCGGCGUGCCUAUACAUGCGAGUYCGAGCGAAUGGAUUAAGAGCCUUGCUYCUUAUGAAGUUAGCGGCGGACGGGUGAGUAACACGUGGGUAACCUGCCCAUAAGACUGGGAUAACUCCGGGAAACCGGGGCUAAUACCGGAKAACAUUUUGAACCGCAUGGUUCGAAAUUGAAAGGCGGCUUCGGCUGUCACUUAUGGAUGGACCCGCGUCGCAUUAGCUAGUUGGUGAGGUAACGGCUCACCAAGGCAACGAUGCGUAGCCSACCUGAGAGGGUGAUCGGCCACACUGGGACUGAGACACGGCCCAGACUCCUACGGGAGGCAGCAGUAGGGAAUCUUCCGCAAUGGACGAAAGUCUGACGGAGCAACGCCCGCGUGAGUGAUGAAGGCUUUCGGGUCGUAAAACUCUGUUGUUAGGGAAAGAACAAGUGCUAGUUGAAUAAGCUGGCACCUUGACGGUACCUAACCAGAAAGCCACKGCUAACUACGUGCCAGCAGCCGCGGURAUUACGUAUGUUGGCAAGCGUUAUCCGGAAUUAUUGGCGUAAGCGCGCGCAGUGUUUCUUAAGUCUGAUGUGAAGCCACGGCUCAUCGUGGAGGUUCAUUGAAACUGUUAGACU